rnacentral:rRNA from 1 species
AUUGAACGCUGGCGGCAGGCCUAACACAUGCAAGUCGAACGAGUGGCGGACGGGUGAGUAAUGUCUGGGAAACUGCCUGAUGGAUGGGGAUAACUACUGGAAACGGUAGCUAAUACCGCAUACCAUCGGAUGUGCCCAGAUGGGAUUAGCUAGUAGGUGGGGUAACGGCUCACCUAGGCGACGAUCCCUAGCUGGUCUGAGAGGAUGACCAGACACACGGGAACGGAGACAAGAUCCAGACUACAACGGAAGGCAGCAGUGGGGAAGAGUGCACAAUGGGCGCAAGCCUGAUGCAGAAAUGCCGCGGGUAUAAAGAAGGCCUUAGGGUUGUAAAGUACUUAAAGCGGGGAGGCGUUACCAGCAGAAGAAGCACCGGCGAACUCCGUGCCAGCAGCCGCGGUAAUUC